UUCCUGAUGCUUAGUCAGAAUCUCCUUUCUUGUAAUUUGAAGACAUUGGUUCAAGUCCCACCCUCCAGAGGAGACAAAAACAAGAUUGUUCCCUCUUCCACAUGACAGUCCUUGGGAUAUUUGAAGACAGAUAUCAUAUCUCCUGUCUCCUCUUUUCCAGGCUAAACAUACCCAGCUCUUUCAACC